rnacentral:rRNA from 1 species
GAUGAACGCUGGCGGCGUGCCUAACACAUGCAAGUCGAACGGAGUCCAGCCUUUAAGACCUUCGGGUCAAAGAGGGGAAGACUGAGUGGCGGACGGGUGAGUAACACGUGGGCAACCUGGCUCAUAGAGGGGGAUAACAGAGAGAAAUUUCUGCUAAUACCGCAUAAGCACACACUGCCGCAUGGCAGGGGGUGAAAAGAGAAUCGCUAUGAGAUGGACCCGCGUCUGAUUAGCCAGUUGGCAGGGUAAGAGCCUACCAAAGCGACGAUCAGUAGCCGAUCUGAGAGGAUGAACGGCCACAUUGGGACUGAGACACGGCCCAAACUCCUACGGGAGGCAGCAGUGGGGGAUAUUGCACAAUGGGGGGAACCCUGAUGCAGCGACGCCGCGUGAGUGAAGAAGUAUUUCGGUAUGUAAAGCUCUAUCAGCAGGGAAGAUAAUGACAGUACCUGAAGAAGAAGCCCCGGCUAACUACGUG